rnacentral:rRNA from 1 species
ACGCAGCAACGCCGCGUGGAGGAUGAAGUCCCUUGGGACGUAAACUCCUUUCGACCGGGGCGAUAAUGACCGGUACCGGUGGAAGAAGCCCCGGCUAACUUCGUGGU